UUGCUUUGACAGCACAUAUACUAAAAUUGGAAUGAUACAAAGAUUAGCAUGGCCCUUGCGCAAAAAUGACAUGCAAAUUCAUAAAAUGUUCCAUAUUUUU
ensembl:snRNA U6 U6 spliceosomal RNA